GAUACAAUAGCUAAUUUCGAUUGGAAAUGAGAAACAAAAAAUGCAAAAAUGCAGCACUUUUAUGUACCACAUUGUUCUCGUCCGUCGCCUCCGCUUUCGUUUUCUAUUCUCCAUCAGGAGCAGCAUGGCUGCCAUCUCUUCUUCUUCUGAGUCCAUGUGCGUCGCCGAGAAAAUCCAAGUGACAAAUGAACGAGCGAAAAAUGAUCUGUAUGUAAACCGCCGCGGUCACUCGUGACAAAUGAGGAGUGACACGUGAAAAUGAGCCGUGAGUCGAUGAAAAAUGUGGCGUGAGUAGCUCAUUCCUAUGUAACAUCAGCCUUAGUUAUGAAUGUUUCCUGUAUUGUUAAAUGUUUAGAAAGCUUGUGAGCUUUUGAUUUGGUUAGACAAACAUCAAUGACAAAAACAUUCUCUGGGCCUAUUCGACUAUUUCCCUGUCAUCCAUCCAGCGAUUACUUGAACCUGACCACGGCGUUGUUUCACUUCGGUGACGGGAACGAGUACGUUAACUACAACUGCAUGAAGGAUAUCCCUGCACAGAUCUAGAGUGGAUGACUGAACAUCUCUUGCACUUGGAACUAUAUCAUACAGUAAGUGUAACGUCGACAAUGCAGGAGUUAAUGAAAAAAAUGCGGGUCAUGUCAUUGUACGUUUGUUUUAUCCGAAUUCGUUAAAGGAUGGGCGCAAGAUCUAGCCACCGGAAGUCACCGAUAUAGGUCUCUGAUAUACUCUAUUCUCGGUUUUAAACGACCAGUCCGUUGGCCAUGCGCUAUGCCCCAACCCACGAUUAUAAUACUGCAUUCAUGAAUGGAGGCAUGUCUUCAAGCGCGAAUUCUGUCUGGAUAUUGGCUAGUUCAGCAAUAAAGAUGGUAAUCGUAGGAUCGACGGGUCAUUGAAACGGCUCAGAUCCGUGUGCCAUUGACCAGCCACUUCAUUGAUAUGGACCCGAGUUUUCUACUCGGACAAUUAGGAAAUGAAGACGACAUUCUAUUUAUGAAAUAUAUUGCUGAAUUACACCAGCUUGGGCAACUGUUAGGCCUACAUGGUACGUGAAGCAUAUUGGAUAACACGUACAAGGUGGCUCAGACAAAAACUGCCUCGAACGAGAAGUUACAGUUAGGUCUAAUGGCGCAGCCAGCCGGGAUAAAUUGAAGGAUUCCACCUAAUUCUGUCGCAGAUAGUCCAAAUUGUUCCGCCUGGUAAACCCUGUAACGGUCAAGCAGAAUAAGGAAGUUUCCAUCACGUUCCACCGCCGCGGUCACGUGAGGCUUGCGCUGUCUGAGUGACAUUACAUACUCAGCCAGUAUUUAAAAGAUCUUGGCCUUGAAAUCAGCAACAGUUAUUGAAUAAGGCCUCAUUUCUUUAAAAACAGCUGCGGUAAUUUUACGUGUAUAUCAAUCUAAGGUGUCAGAAUGGAUAGUAAAAUCACAACGCAGGCUACACUUGAGUGCCUUUACAGGGUGACGAAUAUGAUGACAGCCAAAGAUAUAGUAUUAUUCAUCCUGUACGUGCCAUUCAUGUUAUUCUACGUCGCAUCCGGCAUCAUUGGUAACUCUUUAUCAAUCGUCGUUCUGAAUCGUGAGAUGAAGGGUUCGACAUCAUUUCUGCUCAAAGCGCUGGCAAUAUCUGACAACUGGGUCCUCCUAACAUACGGCAUCACGUACUCGCUACCAGCGGUAUACACGUACACGGGACAUCUGGAAGUUUACUACGAAUUCUUUCAGCUUGCCCGCGGAUAUCUGUGGACAUUAACGUGGUACUGGAAGACAGUUUCAACAUACGUCAUGAUAUUUGUAGCAGCUGAGCGAUAUGUUGCAGUUUGCAUGCCUUUAAAGGCAACUUCUCUCUGCACGAUCAAGAACUGCAAAAAAGCGAUUUCGUCCAUCCUAAUUUUCUCUCUCUGUUACAAUUUCCCAAAAUUCUAGUACUGCGAUACCCAGUUCGUAUAUGACCCAUGUGUUAACCGUGUUAGACCUCUGUCCGUUUACAGCAAGCUAGCCGAGUUCAAUGUAUAUUUUGAAUCGAUCUAUAUAAACGCACUAUUUUACAUUGUCUUAUUUUUCAUACCCCUACUCUCUCUCGGUUUCACGGGGAUCAGAAUGGUGCACGUUCUACGAACUAUGAACAGCGGCCUGACUGCUUCAAAGGAACCAGAAAAGCGGGGCGGUCAAACAAACUACAUCACCAAGAGAAUUGUCUUACUAGUGGCCUGUUUUUUCAUCAUAGAGCUACCCUCCACUCUGGUCAACCUAUCUGUGGUCGUGUGGGACCUUGACCUUGACAAGAUUACUAUGACACUUGGUUCCCUGUAUGCCAUAUCGGGUAUGAAUUCAUUCAUCAAUUUCUAUAUUUACUUUCUUACUGGCCACAAAUUUAGGACCAUUUUGAUCAGAAUGUUGACCUGCCAGAGUUAAAAAACAAUGGAAUAUCUUGACAUUUUUCCAAUUUUGUUUCAUUGUCAGUACUAGAAAAAGAACCAAGUUGUUCGUUUGUUUUUGCACGCACAACUCCUGAUGACGCGAGAAACUGGUAUUCACACCUCCUCUCUGUGUACAAGAACCUUAAACGCGAACGUCAUUAAUUGCCAAUAUGUCGUCCUCGCCUCGGCGCUGCGCGUUGCCAAUGCACGGAUCUGCACAAAGAUGAUCGCUGCACGGAGGGCUCACUCGGCUCCAGUCGGGAUUAAAAUCGAUAUAGCCAGAUAAUUCAGUCAGAUUAUGAUUUUCCAAAAAUAUUGUCGAUAGAGACUAAUUAUAAUAGUGUAGAGGGGAUGGUAAAUGGGUAGCCAUGUUAACAACUUGUUAAUAAUGCCCCUGAUGACGCCAUUGGUAUUUGGCAUAACGUUAUGAAUAUAAUUGUGGAGACAGCCAACGAUUUAGCGUUAACCAUUCUCUUAUCUACUACGUCCGGCAACUUGUGUAACUCGUUAUCAAUCGUUGUUAUAUUCUGAAGAGAGUUAUCUAGAUGCUGGUAAUGAUUGACAACUGGACACCAGAACUUAUAUGGCAUCGUGUACAUAGGCCUUCUAACUCUCGCCUUGACGGACACUCAUAAAAAUCUUCGUAGAAUUUUGUCCCAAGAUUCGUGAAACCCGUUAAUAAGAGAAUUAGUCAAGCCAACUUAUUGUUGUGAGUGCAUUUCCCGGCGUUAUUGAUAAUACUACACGUACAUGGGUUAUUAGACGACACAAAACACACUGGAACAAACAAGCACAUAUUGUGACUACAUGUAGUUGACCGGACGAUGUGCUUGUUGCAAAAUACCAACAUUUCUUGAAAUAGUUAAAGAAUAGGCUAUUGCUGCAGCGAAAGACAUUCGCGUCGAAAACCUGGAUUUUGCCUCCGUUUAAAAAAACAUAUUUUUGGAGGAUUCGGGAAUAUAAAAAUUAAACCAAAGUUAGACUGGGUUGAUUGUGGGAUACAAGAAUCGAACCGGAGUUGUACAUCAUCAAUAAGCGGGGCUAAGUAACAUCUUAUGGAACAUCCAGAUAUCAGAUCAGAUAUACGACUGAAAGAAAGGACGCUAAUUGCUAUAAUCAUCUAAAAUAUGAUUAUCUUAAAGCUCAUAGAACAUUGUAUAUGAUAUACUAUGUUCAUGUGGUUUAAGACUAUGAUCAAAGUGGUGUAACAAGCAGUUUUUACAUGAUUCAUAUGGUGGAUCAGUUCAAGGCUAGUCAGCUGGUCAAUCGCCUAAGUGGAAGUGCUAAUCGGGUAUGUUGAGAUUGAAGAUUGCUCCUUGUCCUAGAUUAAUGAGGGAAUCACACUGUUAUAGUUCACACUACCAAAUUAGAACCCAGAUUUUACAGAAGCAAGUAGUACGUGUUUUUAUGUCCAACGACACACAUAUUAGA